AUUAAAAAGAAACUGAGGCUUUACCAAGCUCAACAGCUCUGGCUGAGCUGCAAUAUAAACAAAACGCUAUUGGCUAUUUAAAAAAGGGGGAGGAGCUGUUCGAUAUGCCCCGCCCUCUCUUCCUGUUUCAGUGGAAAUUACAUCAACACACUGAAUAAUGCUGAGCGUUCCAAGGCACUUCAGUGGGCCUUUAAUGAUAAUAACCCUGUUAAACACGGCUUCUAUCAAUCAUCGUAUCUCACCCUGACUUUAUCUUCCUGAUGUGUUUUUUAAUUAUUAUAUGCUCACUUCACUCUAUAAAUAAAAUCAUAUCAUCAAACCUUGGCUGUGGAUCAUCUAACCCUGCCUAUUUCUCUGAUCUUGUAUAUCUUUACAUAAACACAACAUAUCUAAACCUGCCUGCUGAUCAUUUACCUCUUUAUAUCUAACCAGGGCCAUUGCUAAAAUCCAUAGGACCCAGGACUGCAUUUUAUGGGUGGACCCACUCUACCUCAGGCCCAAUGGGUAGACGAUACCACACAGAGGACCGUGGGGACAGCAUCGACAACAGUCCUGUGUUUGUCUAAAGGGCUUUGGUCUCCCAUGAUGCUCAAAGAACAACUUACACCAAUGAAACCAGACAACAGUCAUUCGUCUGUGACAUACACACUUGCACAACUAGACACAGAAGUUCAUAGCUGUUGACACACAUCAACUAAAUAAACCAGCCCGCCGAGUGAUUCCUCACCCAAAUACGUGAUAUGGAGGAGAGGCGCUCAUGUACAUCAAAGCAUGAAGAACGGAGAGAAAUAUCAGUCCCAGCUAUUGUUACAUGCCGAGGAUUGUGUCCAUACAGUGGGGCCGGAGCGACACUGGCCCCCUGAAGCGUCCACCUGAUAUAGCAGCGCAAGAUCACAGACAUGGACUUUCAGUCCAGUCCAAACUUAAACUUGUAUACAGAUUUUGAUGGAUGUCCCUGCUGAAAAGACCAGCAUGUUUCCAAACUAACAGUGAUUCACUGCAGUCAGACUCCCAGGAGGUCAGGUGUCUGGACAUGAUGUCACACCACUAACAUCAUCUAGCUUCUGCUACCUGAAAGUGACAGCUCUUCACUUCUCCAUGGUGAAGAGAAAGUCUAUGUGGAAGUUUUUCAUCAUGUGGUCUGUCUCUUUGUGUUGCUCUCAGCUGCAGUGGGUGGAACUAAUCUCAUUAAAUAUGAAAGAACUUCCAGUGAAUUGGGGAAAGAAAGAGGGAGUGAGAAAAAGAGGAGAGGAGAGGCCACUGAAGGUUGAGGCAAUGCGAGGCGUUGUGUGAUGCUGGACAGAUUUCGUGCUUAUAUCAUGAUGCAAUCCUUUAAGAAAAGAAAACUCCUCCACGCUGGGAUAACUAGCACUUUCCCGGCUGGAAUUCCACUCGUUAUUCAUCAACUGCGCCACAUUCCAGUGCAGUGACAUCAUAAUAAAAGACUCCUCUACAAAUCAGAUUCCUGCGGCAUAAACUCUCCUUUCUUCUGAUCAGUAAAGGUAUGUUCAUCAAGAGACAGAGAAAGAAGGAGGAGGACGAAAGAUCUGACUGGAUGCAUUUUCCACGUGAAAUCUGAUAAUUUCCAAAAUUCACACAGUGCUCAGGUUUGUGCCAUCUGAAUUGUCUUUCGAACAAUAAAACUAUUUAUUUAUACAUCAGUCAGAAAAUGAACAAACAAAUAAAAAGCUAUUGUCAACA